GUUGUUAGUAUUCAAUUUAUCUUUUGCAUUAUUAAAAUAAUCAAACAACAUAUGGUCAAUUAUUUCAUUUAAAAUUAUUCAUUUUUGUAAGUCCGUGUCUAGUGUUACUUGUAAUAUGUAGGAAGUAUAAACCAGUUUAUAUUACUCUCUCCACAACGAUAAAGUAUUGUGUUUGCACAGAAAAUCGUAGGCUGUUAACUGCAGUGGAAGUGGUUUGAACCGAGUACAAAAUCCUCAGAAUUAGUUUUGGUAUCUGUCAACAUGUAUUUACAAUUAUAUUCCGUAUCCCAGCAGUUAUAUUCC
rnacentral:lncRNA from 1 species